GUAGGUGGCAAGCGUUGUCCGGAAUUAUUGGGCGUAAAGCGCGCGCAGGCGGUUCUUUAAGUCUGAUGUGAAAGCCCACGGCUCAACCGUGGAGGGUCAUUGGAAACUGGGGAACUUGAGUACAGAAGGGGAAAGCGGAAUUCCACGUGUAGCGGUGAAAUGCGUAGAGAUGUGGAGGAACACCAGUGGCGAAGGCGGCUUUCUGGUCUGUAACUGACGCUGAGGCGCGAAAGCGUGGGGAGCAAACAGGGAUUAGAUACCCUGGUAGUCCACGCCGUAAACGAUGAGUGCUAAGUGUUAGGGGGUUUCCCGCCCCUUAGUGCUGCAGCUAACGCAUUAAGCACUCCGCCUGGGGAGUACGGCCGCAAGGCUG
rnacentral:rRNA from 1 species